rnacentral:rRNA from 2 species
CUUUAUUGGAGAGUUUGAUCCUGGCUCAGGAUGAACGCUGGCGGCGUGCCUAAUACAUGCAAGUCGAGCGAAUGGAUUGAGAGCUUGCUCUCAAGAAGUUAGCGGCGGACGGGUGAGUAACACGUGGGUAACCUGCCCAUAAGACUGGGAUAACUCCGGGAAACCGGGGCUAAUAC